GCGAUUUCUUCGAUUAUUUAUAAAAAUAAAAUUAUUUAUAUAAUAUGGGGAAAUGGGCGAAAUAUGAAAAAAAAAACACAAAAGCGAAUGGGAACGAGAACCUUUAUUUCAAGGAACGGUAAUUACCGAUAGACCGCCUGGAAUCCGUUUAUGAUGUUAUUAUUCUGAAGAAAAGAGGGGGGGAAGACAGCUGUUACCGCUGACGGAUGAACUGUCAGUUGUCAAUCUAGUAAACAAACAAAAUACUGUUUAAAAAAAAAUAUGCGGAUCUGGACUUGAGCAAAUCAAAGAAUUUAGGUUAAUUCCUUUUUCUGUGUCAAACUGAACCAAUUCGCAAAAUUUACUUGGAUCUAUUGGUUUCAAAAUUUUGGGGCAGGAUUGCGAUUCUAAAAAAUUAGUAAGUUGCUCUUUGGGGCUAACCUCUCCAAAUGUCUGGAGCAAGCAAAGACCUUGGAGAAACAUAGCUCUGUUCUUGUCGAAAAGAAGAAUUUAAACUUCAAGAGCCCACCUCCUCGGAAGAUGGUUUCCAAACAGAUCACCUCCGGCUAGAGGGUCCAGCCUCAGUGGGGUGGGCACUCAAAUGCUCAACCAAAAGACAGACAGCAGAGGAGCAAGAGCUGGUCAGAUCCAAAGAAAAAGCAGAGCCAGAAGGAGAACUGGAAAAAACAACGUAGGUAUGGUGGGGAUGGUACGGCUGGCGCUAAUAACACCACCUACGUCAAAAAAAAAAAAGGACUAGGAAACGAGGACUUUAAAACUUGUGGCCUUUAGCCAAGUAGGAGGGACUACAUUUGUUUAUGAUCUGAGGAAAAAGGUGGUUCAUAUAAUUAAUAUCGAACUUCACUCACAGGUUUCAUCCAUAUCAUUUAGUCCUGCAUCAAGAAUUAAGUGCAUUUAAGAUUUUGACCGAAUGCUAGACCAUUGUCACUGGCUUUUGGGUAUGAUUGCAGAGGAUCCUCAGGUGCUUUCAAACAUAUUGUGGACAGAUGAGGCUACAUUUCACAGCAAUGGAGGCGUGAAUCUCCACAAUAUUCAUUACUAGUCACCAACGAAUCCGCACUGAAUGCGAGAAGUCCAGCAUCAAGGCCGUUGGUCUUUAAAUUGUUGGGCAGGAAUAUUAGGAGUUUUUAAGGGAGGAAUUGCCAAUUUUAUUAGAGGAUGUGCCACUUGAAAUUCGCCAACGAAUGAUGUUCCAGCACGAUUGGACAGCCAGCACAUUUCGCCCGAAAUGUUCGGGAGUUUUUAGAUGCUACCUACCUUGGUAGAUGGAUACGACGGGGCAGUACCUUUCCAUGGCCGGCUAGAUCACCAGACCUAACGUGCCUGGAUUUUUAUUUAUGGGGUCGAAUUAAAGAAAUUGUUUUUGCAAAAAGACCUACGACGCGACAAAAUAUGAUUGGCUGGAUUAGGGAUUGCAUGCAGACUCUCUCAUUUGCUGAGGUAGAGACUGCAGUUUUCUCUACCGAACAAAAGAUGUUUCAGUGCAUAGAAAAUGAUGGAAUGCAUUUUGAACAUUUGGGGAGGCACUAAAUAAAUUAUGUGUAUAACAUAUUAUUUAUUGUACCACCUAAGAUUUCUUAAAAUUGUAUGUAGAAUUUAAAUAUCAAAUAGCAUAUUAUAGAGUGUUCUAUUUAAAAUAAGUAAGUUUUCAUCUACAUCCGGUGUCAUCAAAAUUGUUACAAGUGUCAAAUUAUUUUAUUGUUGUAUCUUUAAUUAACUUUUCUAUGGUAUGGUAUGGUGCCAAAUUUUCAAAACUUUUCUAUAGAACAGCUAUAAACUGUAUGCACAGUUUUCCCAAAAUAGGCCAAUUUGGUCAACUUAUUUAGUUAACACCCUGUAUAAAUAAACGUAUAACGAUCAAUUCUAUAUCUCGGAUUUUCUAAAACACCACUGAGUUUGUUUCUUUUUAAAAAUUCUUAGUUAAUACGAGUUUAUUCAGCUUGUCUAAGCAAAUAGAAUUUAUGGCCAUUUUUAUCACUCUUAUUUUCGAAUGGACACUAUUUUGUUAAUAAGUUUAGUUUAACAAGUGAUAUCGAAGUGCCGUUUUCACCAGUUUCUUUGGUUUUCUUCCCCGCUUUUAACGACGUAAAAAAAUAUAUAUAGUUGCAUUUGAGUUUUUUGAAAUAAUCCGUCAGAAAGGGUUAGUCACAAGUCAACGCCCUCUAGCGGAUUUAAGGAAAAGUAAUUUGAAAUUUUUUUGUGGUUAAAAAAAUAAGGCAACAAUAGACUUAAAAAAAAAUAUGUUUAAAAAAAAUCGGUCCAGUCAUAGCUGAUUUUCAGCUGUUUUCUUUAUUCAAGCUAAAAACGCCCCCACCACUUUAUUUGACAACUGACAGAAAUUUUUGUAGAAACUUUUUUGUGAGGAAAUCUUCCUAGAAUAUUAAUAUAAUAUUUUGAGGUGUACGUUGUCGGAGGUUUUUUGGCAAAAAAGCAAUUUUAAGAUUUAAAGAAGCUGUGGCGCCCUCUAGCGGUUGACCAAUGAACUUCAAAAUAAUUUCCAGCAUUUUUUUUUUGGCCACUUUUAUUACAAAAUUUUUUUCAAGGCGCUACGACUAUUAGGGCCUGAGAUAUCGCCGACGUCCAUUCUUAGUUGGCCACCCGGUAUUUGCUAACAAACAAGAUCUGGUAUUGUUAUUCUGUGGUUUUUCAAAGAGAUCAUAUUCAAGAGAAUAUAAAAUAAUAGAUUAUAUUUUUCAUUUAGUUUUUUAUCUAUUGAAGUCUUAAGAGCAAUAAGAUCUUCUUUAGAAGGAAAAUUUUCAUAAUUAUACCUUCUGGUAGUUCCUUUCUAUUUAAAAUUUUAAGUCUCAGAGCAUCAGGUUUAAUCUUUUGUUCUAGAUCCAAAAGUGUUUUUUUUGGAAUCUUGUUUUUCAUUUGACGACCACAGGGGAAAAAGGAUGAGGGUCUAAAAAACGAAAAAUUGAGAUAGACACGCCAAAUCGCGGAAAGAAUCCAGUAUUUUACGUCUAUUAUACCGUGCCGAGGAAAACAAAUGAGAUGACCAUAUAAAGUGCGUUUUGGUAUAUGCCAUACAGGGGAAAAAAGAUGAUGGUCCACUCGAUUUAUACAAAACGGAUGAGAGUCCAAAAAUUCCCCACUCUUAAAAAAUCUUGUAUGCUAGUAAAUUCGGGCGUCAACAGAAAGAGCAGAAGCAGUUUGCUUUUGCUUUUAAGUGCGGUAAUGUGACUCGCGAGUUUUUGUCUGCUUCACGUGUUUUUCACGGAAUUUUUAAGAUGGCUGAGUGUGAAUCUUCAAGCGUUACUAAAAAAAGGCCAAAAUUAGGUCGCGUUUUUGACUCGUCAAAAAAACUAAGAUUGCAAACACAUGAAACUGGUAGCAGUUGUAAUUGUUCAAGGUUAAAAUGUUUUGAAGUAAUUGGUGUUCAAGACCGUUUGGCGAUUAUUAAAAACUUUAAUGAAAUAAAAUCCUAUAAUGAGCAGACCUUAUAUCACUCAUUCUCCUACAAAUACAAGGUAAGUUGUAUUAUUGUUCUAGCUCAUUACUUGUUUUACAGUAGUUAAUUUCUUUGAAGGUUCGAGUAAUGCGAGAUAAUGGAGCCAAAGAGAUUCCUGUUUGCAACAAGGCAAUGCUGUCGUUACAUGGAAUAUUAGCGAAGCGCAUUCAAAACAUCCAGCAAAUGCUUGUUAAAGACGGACAUGUUGGUGAAGAUGGUCGUGGUCGACAUUCCAAUCGACCAAAGAAGUUACACCAAGAAACCACUAAUGCUGUCUUUGCUCAUAUUCAAUCAUUUAAAGGUAGACAGUCACAUUAUAGCCUUCACAAGUCGAAAAAAACCUACCUACCAGAGGAGUUAAACGUUAAGAAAAUGUUCCAAAUGUUUAAGGAAUUACUUUCGACUAGAUCAAUUUCAUGAGUCAUAUCGUUCUAUCUUUGUAAACAAAUUUAAUAUUAGUUUCGGUUACCCGCGCAGUGACACAUGCAGCAGUUGCGAUGAAUAUAAAGCAAAAAUUGCAGAUCCUUCACAGGCUUCAAACCUUGCUACAUUACAUGUGACAAAUCAACUUCACUUUAGGAAGGCAGAGGCUUUUUAUCAAAGAAAACGAUCCGAACGCAAAAGAGCUCAACAACAUCGCCAUAUUGAAGCUAUUGCUAUGGAUUAUCAAAAAAACUUGCCACUGCCAAACAUUAGCACUAAUGACGUAUACUACAAAUGACAGUUAUCGUUCUACUUAUUUAAUAUUCACGUUUUAGCCAGUGGUGAGGCAUUUUUUUAUACGUACACAGAAACCGCCGCAAAAAAAGGAGCAGACGAAGUUGCUUUUAUGCUGUUACAUACUCAAUGAAUUGAAUCCCGAAGUUCAAGAACUUGUGAUUUUUUGUAAUUCGUGUUGUGGACAGAAUAAAAAUUAUACUUUGUUUCGAAUGCUUCAUUAUGUUGUACAGGGUGGCCAAAUAAGAAUGCGAGGUACUGUAUCUGGGAAACUAUUCAUCGUAGAAGCUUGCGAUAAAAGAAUUUAUUACUAAAAUAGCCAAGAGAAUGACCUGGAAAAUAUUUUCAAGUUUCUAAAAUGGCCGCUAGGGGGCGCAACUGCAAUCUUGAAUCUAGAAAACUGAUGUUUCUGUAAAUUUUGCUGAAUUAACCUAACAAAAAAAAUAGUUGAUUAUUAAAGUAGAGACUAAUCCGAACCUUUUUUAUUUGAAUAGUUUUGCUGUAUCUCUAAAAAUAAAGUGGUGGGGGGUGUUCAAAAGUUGGCUUAAAACACACCCUGUAUACUAAAAACGCCUUAGCCGAUUUUAUCAAACUUGGGCUAGUUGAAAAGAGCUAUUAUUAAGCUACGAAUAUUAUUAUAUUUCAUGUUUUUUUAGUUUUACAUCUCGCCGCUAGAGGGCUUUUUUCGGCUUUCUGACACAAAUGACUAAUUUUCUCAAAAAACUUAAAUGCGUUGAUAUGAUUUUUUUUUCAUAGAAAAAAAUAGCUAAAUGAUGUCUAAAUAAUCUUGCGAAAACCGCAACUCGAUAUCUUGUUCCUAACCUAAAAUAUAGGCCAAAGAACAUUUUAUACCCUUAAAUUUUUAUUUUUUUAUACUAAUUAUUUUGGAAUUUUUUAAAAUUCACUACUUUUGAAAACAAAAUUUACUAUUUUUGAAAAUAUUACCUAAUAUCACUAAAAGAUAAGUAUUAAUAAUGCUUAUAUCAAAAAUCAGACCUAUUUUAUGUUAUAUAUUCACUAUGGAUAUAAUACGAAAAAAAUAAUUAUUAGAAAGCAGGCCAUGGAAUGCAACAAAACAAAUGUCUACUCAAAUUAUAAACAUUCCUCAAAUUGUCAAUGGUAAGUUGUCAAAAGUUUUACGUUACUUGAGCAUUUUUUGUUUUUGCAAAAUGCGUUUUACGAACGAUGAAGCUGUUAAUAUGCUUGCGGUUUAUUUUGAACGUCUUUAUAUUGCUGCAAUAGCAAAAAGAGUUUAUGCUGCUCGAUAUCCAAAUCAAAGUUCUUGCGAUAUUAGAUUUUUUCCCCGAUUAGUGGUGAACUUACGAGCCAAUGGUAGUUUUCGGCCUAGGUUUCAACGGCCAAGAAUUAGAAGAAAUGUGGACAAUAUUAACAGCGUACUGUGAUAUAUUGAAGGAAAUCCUCAUGUUAGCACAAGAGCAUUAUCCCUUGAAUUAGGCAUAUCAAGAACAACGAUUCAAAAUAUUUUGAAGGACAAUAGAAUGCACCCAUAUCAUGUUAAUUUACAUCAGGCAUUGGAAGAAGCAGACUUUGACCGUAGGUUGGACUAUUGCCAUUGGAUAUUAGGCAUGAUACGCGAGGACAGAGAUUUUUUAUUUAAAAUUCUUUGGACCGAUGAAGCCACAUUUAAUAGUGACGGUAGAGUCAACCUGCAUAACAUGCAUUAUUGGCCUGCAGAAAAUUCGCAUUGGUUGCGUGAAGUUCAGCACCAAGGGCGCUAGAGUUUAAAUGUGUGGUAUACUUGGAGGCAACGUUAUUGGACCAUAUUUUUUUGAGCAAUCUCUAAAUGGCAAUGUUUUUUUCGACUUUUUGGUAAAUCAAUUACCGUUGUUGCUGGAAUAUGUGCCACUGGAAGUCCGGCAAAAUUUGUUUUUGCAGAUGGAUGGUUGUCCAGCACAUUUUGCUAGGAAUGUGCGAGAGCAUAUUAAUAACAUUUUUCAACAGCGGUGGAUUGGAAGAGGAAGCCUGUUUCCAUGGCCUCCGCGAUCCCCAGACUUAACCUGUCUUGAUUUCUAUUUAUGGGGGCGGUUAAAGGACAUUGUAUUUCAGACUCAGCCUACGACUAGAGAAGAUAUGAAAAACCGCAUUCGUAAUGCAAUACAUACCAUACCGAGAGCCGAAAUUGAAGCUGCAGUUCCAUCUACCCAUGAGAGGCUUCAGCAAUGCAUAGAGCGUGAUGGUCAGCAUUUCGAGCAUUUACGGGGUCAUUAAAACCCUUUCUUUUUAAAAUCGGUCCUUUAUAGGGCCACAACUUACAUUAUAAAAGAAAUUCUCAGGAUUUCCAUAAAAUUUUCUUUGGCCUAAAUUUUAGGUUAGGAUAAAGAUAUUAAGAUACGGUUUUCGCAAGCAUAUUUAGGCGUCAUUAAGCUAUUUUUUUUGUAUAAAAAAAUUUAUACCAUUGCAUUUAAGUUUUUUGAGAAAAUUAGUUAUUUGUGUCAGAAAGCCGAAAAAAGCCCCCUAGCGGCGAGAUGUAAAACUAAAAAAACAUGAAAUAUAAUAAUAUUCGUAGCUUGAUAAUAGCUCUAUUCAACUAGCCCAAGUUUGAUAAAAUCGGCUAAGGCGUUUUUAGUAUACAGGGUGUGUUUUAAGCCAACUUUUGAACACCCCCCACCACUUUAUUUUUAGAGAUACAGCAAAACUAUUCAAAUAAAAAAAGUUCGGAUUAGUCUCUACUUUAAUAAUCAACUAUUUUUUUUUGUUGGGUUAAUUCAGCAAAAUUUACAGAAACAUCAGUUUUCUAGAUUCAAGAUUGCAGUUGCGCCCCCUAGCGGCCAUUUUAGAAACUUGAAAAUAAUUUCCAGGUCAUUCUCUUGGCCAUUUUAGUAAUACAUUUUUUUAUCGCAAGCUUCUACGAUGA
rnacentral:lncRNA from 1 species